GUGGGGAAUUUUGGACAAUGGGCGCAAGCCUGAUCCAGCAAUGCCGCGUGCAGGAAGAAGGCCUUCGGGUUGUAAACUGCUUUUGUACGGAACGAAAAGGCUCUGGUUAAUACCUGGGGCUCAUGACGGUACCGUAAGAAUAAGCACCGGCUAACUACGUGCCAGCAGCCGCGGUAAUACGUAGGGUGCAAGCGUUAAUCGGAAUUACUGGGCGUAAAGCGUGCGCAGGCGGUUUUGUAAGACAGACGUGAAAUCCCCGGGCUCAACCUGGGAAUGGCGUUUGUGACUGCAAAGCUGGAGUGCGGCAGAGGGGGAUGGAAUUCCGCGUGUAGCAGUGAAAUGCGUAGAUAUGCGGAGGAACACCGAUGGCGAAGGCAAUCCCCUGGGCCUGCACUGACGCUCAUGCACGAAAGCGUGGGGAGCAAACAGGAUUAGAUACCCUGGUAGUCC
rnacentral:rRNA from 1 species